UACGUAGGGUGCAAGCGUUGUCCGGAAUUAUUGGGCGUAAAGAGCUCGUAGGCGGUCUGUCGCGUCUGCUGUGAAAAUCCAGGGCUCAACCCUGGACCUGCAGUGGGUACGGGCAGACUAGAGUGCGGGAUGGGAAAGUGGAAUUCCUGGUGUAGCGGUGAAAUGCGUAGAUAUCAGGAGGAACACCGGUGGUGUAGACGGCCUUCUGGACCGUAACUGACGCUGAGGCGCGAAAGCGUGGGGAGCAAACAGG
rnacentral:rRNA from 1 species